GGAAAAGAAUGCUAAGACGGAUCUUCAGAAAUGCUGGCUGGGAAGCACACGGGGACUGAGCACAGAGGGAAGGAACCAAGAGACAGGGACACAUCCAGGCACAGAGCUCAAGAAAAAAAAAUAAACAAUAUGAGGGAAACUAGCAUAUGGAAGGCCUUUCUCUGCACCAAAUCCCGCCUCAGAGGAUCAAGGAGAACUCUUGAGGGAUGAGCAUGAAUUUGAGACAACAAGAGUGUUUACCUCAUGGAGUUAAUACAGCAGAAGUGCCUGGCACACUAUACACACAUGAUGGCCAUUGAUACAAGUAAAAAGAAGUGCUUAUUAUUUUUUGCUUGUUCAUGGAUAAAAAAACAUCUCAGGAGAGACAUGAGAAAUUGGUACCAGGCUGCCUGCCAGGAAAGACCUGGGUAUGGGGGGUACUUUACUACACAGCCCUCUGUACUUUUUGAGUGUUGAACUGUGUGAAUAUAUUAACAUUCAAAACAAAUGAAACAUGUAAAACUUAAAAUUAAAAGAAAGGAUGGCUUCACUAGAAUUUUCAACAGACGGGUGUGACACAGAGCCGCUUCUGGAAGCAGAAGGGACUUACACGA